UGGCCCUUACGUGCCCCCACAGCCGAUCUCGUCCUAACAUGAGUUGAAAUUGAUUAUGACAGGAACAGGAGGAGAAUCUCGUCCUGACACAAAUGAAGAUCUAGUCAUUUAAGAUCGGAUGAAGGAAAAAACCCCUCAGCAACUCCUCUACACCCCUACAAUCCCGUUAGGAGUAGAAGGAAAAACCCUCACCCUAAUACAAAAAAGAAGAAAAAGCGACGAGCUACACCAAAAAAAAAUAAUAAUGAGCUACAUCCGAGGUUCAAGGGACCUCAUCUCAAC
rnacentral:lncRNA from 1 species